GAUGAACGCUGGCGGCGUGCCUAAUACAUGCAAGUCGAGCGAACAGAUGAGGAGCUUGCUCCUCUGACGUUAGCGGCGGACGGGUGAGUAACACGUGGAUAACCUACCUAUAAGACUGGGAUAACUUCGGGAAACCGGAGCUAAUACCGGAUAAUAUAUUGAACCGCAUGGUUCAAUAGUGAAAGACGGUUUUGCUGUCACUUAUAGAUGGAUCCGCACCGCAUUAGCUAGUUGGUAAGGUAACGGCUUACCAAGGCAACGAUGCGUAGCCGACCUGAGAGGGUGAUCGGCCACACUGGAACUGAGACACGGUCCAGACUCCUACGGGAGGCAGCAGUAGGGAAUCUUCCGCAAUGGGCGAAAGCCUGACGGAGCAACGCCGCGUGAGUGAUGAAGGUCUUCGGAUCGUAAAACUCUGUUAUUAGGGAAGAACAAAUGUGUAAGUGACUAUGCACGUCUUGACGGUACCUAAUCAGAAAGCCACGGCUAACUACGUG
rnacentral:rRNA from 1 species